rnacentral:rRNA from 1 species
UACGUAGGGGGCAAGCGUUGUCCGGAUUUAUUGGGCGUAAAGAGCGUGUAGGCGGCCAUGUAGGUCCGUUGUGAAAACUCGAGGCUCAACCUCGAGACGCCGAUGGAAACCAUGUGGCUAGAGUCCGGAAGAGGAGAGUGGAAUUCCUGGUGUAGCGGUGAAAUGCGCAGAUAUCAGGAAGAACACCCGUGGCUAAGGCGGCUCUCGUGGGACGGUACUGACGCUGAGACGCGAAAGCGUGGGGAGCGAACAGG